rnacentral:rRNA from 1 species
GACAGAGGGUGCAAACGUUGUUCGGAAUUACUGGGCGUAAAGCGAGUGUAGGCGGUCUCGUAAGUCGGGUGUGAAAGCCCCGGGCUCAACCCGGGAAGUGCACUCGAAACUGCGAGGCUAGAGUAUCGGAGAGGUUGGUGGAAUUCUCGGUGUAGAGGUGAAAUUCGUAGAUAUCAGGAGGAACACCGGUGGCGAAGGCGGCUACCUGGACAGAGUCUGACGCUGAGGCACGAAAGCUAGGGGAGCAAACAGG